UCAAAAAAAUAUAUAGAUUGCUAUACAAUAUUCAAAUACUAUCGAUAAAAAUUUAUUUUUGUAUCUUAUACCCGCCUAAACAGGCGGGCCUUAUCUAGUUGUAUAUAUUUGCAAAGAAGUCUUGUUUAUGUGGAUGCUGUACUUGUGCUUUUUGUUU
rnacentral:sRNA from 1 species